rnacentral:pre_miRNA from 1 species
GUGACGUAAAAUCAAUAAUGCGCUUCAUCCGCGUUUGCUGCGGACCUUCUUGUGUGACAUCACAAUAAGGCACGCGGUGAAUGCCAAUGAAACGUCAUCACU